UUUUAGCCCGGAUGGGAGCGAUAUCCUUUUGUGGAGACCCGCGGAACAAAAGAUAAAGCGUACAGCAGGAACAUGG
rnacentral:sRNA from 1 species